GACGAACGCUGGCGGCGUGCUUAACACAUGCAAGUCGAACGGAAAGGCCCUGCUUUUGUGGGGUGCUCGAGUGGCGAACGGGUGAGUAACACGUGAGUAACCUGCCCUUGACUUUGGGAUAACUUCAGGAAACUGGGGCUAAUACCGGAUAGGAGCUCCUGCUGCAUGGUGGGGGUUGGAAAGUUUCGGCGGUUGGGGAUGGACUCGCGGCUUAUCAGCUUGUUGGUGGGGUAGUGGCUUACCAAGGCUUUGACGGGUAGCCGGCCUGAGAGGGUGACCGGCCACAUGGGGACUGAGAGACGGCCCAGACUCGUACGGGAGGCAGCAGUGGGGAAUAUUGCACAAGGGGCGGAAGCCUGAUGCAGCAACGCCGCGUGCGGGAUGACGGCCUUCGGGUUGUAAACCGCUUUCGCCUGUGACGAAGCGUGAGUGACGGUAAUGGGUAAAGAAGCACCGGCUAACUACGU
rnacentral:rRNA from 1 species